rnacentral:lncRNA from 1 species
UUAGAUUGACAAUAGAUGCACUUUAUGAAAAGAGAAAAGUGAUUUUUUAAUGGGUCUCAUGAGAACUAGCUUCAAUUAGCAUCUCUUGGCUGGUGGAAGAGAGAGAAAAAUAUUUUUGAAUGGGUCCCACGAGAACUAGCUCCAAUUAGCACCUCUUGCGUGAGAUAGUUUUUUUGAUUGGGUUAGAUGCAACAAGCUUUACUCUAACUCUUAUGUUUAGAUACUUUAAGGCUAGUUGAACGUCAACUAGCUCAAACUAACUCUAAGGCCGUAGUACGUAGGUAACGUACGUAGGUACGACGUACGCGCUUGGGUGCGUGCGUGCGGUGGUCAAUGCAUGCAGGCUGGCCGGCCGUGCGGUCGCAUCGGCUAAAGAUAUGAGCGAAUAUUUUUUCCGUUGAGGAAUAAAGCUGCGCGUUUUAUGCGAUGGCGAUGCCUGCCGGGAAAACAAGUGGCGAUGGAACGCUUCUCUGACCGGCAGUGCUCUGAAUGUGUUGAGGCA